AGAGUUUGAUCCUGGCUCAGGAUGAACGCUAGCUACAGGCUUAACACAUGCAAGUCGAGGGGCAGCAUUUUAGUUUGCUUGCAAACUGAAGAUGGCGACCGGCGCACGGGUGAGUAACACGUAUCCAACCUGCCGAUAACUCCGGGAUAGCCUUUCGAAAGAAAGAUUAAUACCGGAUAGCAUACGAAUAUCGCAUGAUAUUUUUAUUAAAGAAUUUCGGUUAUCGAUGGGGAUGCGUUCCAUUAGUUUGUUGGCGGGGUAACGGCCCACCAAGACUACGAUGGAUAGGGGCUCUGAGAGGAAGGUCCCCCACAUUGGAACUGAGACACGGUCCAAACUCCUACGGGAGGCAGCA
rnacentral:rRNA from 1 species